AUUCCAGCUCCAAUAGCGUAUAUUAAAGUUGUUGCGGUAAAAAAGCUCGUAGUUGGAUUUCUGUCGAGAACAGCCGGUCACGACUUUGUCGUUGUAUCUGGUUUGGUCUUGGCAUCCUCUUGGGGAACAUUUCUGCGCUUCACUGCGUGGAGUGGUAUUCAAGACUUUUACUUUGAGGAAAUUAGAGUGUUCACAGCAGGCAAUCGCCCUGAAUAUAUUAGCAUGGAAUAAUGAUAUAGGACCUUGGUUCUAUUUUGUUGGUUUCUAGAACUAAGGUAAUGAUUAAUAGGGACAAUUGGGGGCAUUCGUAUUAACGCGUCAGAGGUGGAAUUCUUAGAUUGCGUUACGACGAACUACUGCGAAAGCAUUUGCCAAGGAUGUUUUCAUUA
rnacentral:rRNA from 1 species